AUGUCAUGAUGUGGACACUUCUUAAGCAAGUCAUUUAAGUGCUCCCAUGCCUCAUGAAACAUUUCCCUUUCCCCUUGAGAAAAUUCUCAAAUUGAAAUUCUCAUUAC